rnacentral:rRNA from 1 species
UACGGGGGGAGCAAGCGUUGUUCGGAUUUACUGGGCGUAAAGGGCGCGUAGGCGGUCACUACAAGUCAGUUGUGAAAUCUCUGGGCUUAACUCAGAACGGUCAACUGAUACUGUCGGACUAGAGUGCAGAAGGGGCAACUGGAAUUCUCGGUGUAGCGGUGAAAUGCGUAGAGAUCGGGAGGAACACCUGUGGCGAAGGCGGCCCCCUGGGCCGCGCCUGACGCUGAGACGCGAAGGCUAGGGGAGCGAACGGG